rnacentral:rRNA from 1 species
UUUGAAGUGUGGACGCCAGUCUGCAUGGAGCCGACCUUGAAAUACCACCCUUUAAUGUUUGAUGUUCUAACGUGGACCCGUAAUCCGGGUUGCGGACAGUGUCUGGUGGGUAGUUUGACUGGGGCGGUCUCCUCCUAAAGAGUAACGGAGGAGCACGAAGGUUGGCUAAUCCUGGUCGGACAUCAGGAGGUUAGUGCAAUGGCAUAAGCCAGCUUGACUGCGAGCGUGACGGCGCGAGCAGGUGCGAAAGCAGGUCAUAGUGAUCCGGUGGUUCUGAAUGGAAGGGCCAUCGCUCAACGGAUAAAAGGUACUCCGGGGAUAACAGGCUGAUACCGCCCAAGAGUUCAUAUCGACGGCGGUGUUUGGCACCUCGAUGUCGGCUCAUCACAUCCUGGGGCUGAAGUAGGUCCCAAGGGUAUGGCUGUUCGCCAUUUAAAGUGGUACGCGAGCUGGGUUUAGAACGUCGUGAGACAGUUCGGUCCCUAUCUGCCGUGGGCGCUGGAGAACUGAGGGGGGCUGCUCCUAGUACGAGAGGACCGGAGUGGACGCAUCACUGGUGUUCGGGUUGUCAUGCCAAUGGCACUGCCCGGUAGCUAAAUGCGGAAGAGAUAAGUGCUGAAAGCAUCUAAGCACGAAACUUGCCCCGAGA